AUUGAACGCUGGCGGCAUGCCUUACACAUGCAUGUCGAACGGCAGCACGGGAGCAAUCCUGGUGGCGAGUGGCGAACGGGUGAGUAAUAUAUCGGAACGUGCCCAGUAGUGGGGGAUAACUGCUCGAAAGAGCAGCUAAUACCGCAUACGACCUGAGGGUGAAAGGGGGGGAUCGCAAGACCUCUCGCUAUUGGAGCGGCCGAUAUCAGAUUAGCUAGUUGGUGGGGUAAAGGCCUACCAAGGCAACGAUCUGUAGUUGGUCUGAGAGGACGACCAGCCACACUGGGACUGAGAAACGGCCCAGGCUCCUACGGGAGGCAGCAGGGGGGAAUUUUGGACAAUGGGCGCAAGCCUGAUCCAGCAAUGCCGCGUGCAGGAAGAAGGCCUUCGGGUUGUAAACUGCUUUUGUCAGGGAAGAAAUCCUCUAGGUUAAUACCCUUGGGGGGAUGACGGUACCUGAAGAAUAAGCACCGGCUAACUACGUGCCAGCAGCCGCCGUAACAC
rnacentral:rRNA from 1 species